CUCAAAUUUUCUUUUGUUCCCAAUUUCUAAAAGAAAACCCCAUCUUUUCUCCCCAAACCUUUCCUCUUCGCCCAUUUUCUCCGAUUCCCACGCUCCCCUUCUCGGCCAUGCUCCAUGACUGCGUGAACGAUCCCUCCUGACGGCUGGUCACCGAACGAUCUCACACCACGAACGUUCCACCGUGCACUUUACAAAAUUUCCUUGUUCUCAAUUGCUCCUCAAUGGCUUCUCAAAUCUCCUUUUCCCCCUUGAAUACUGGCGCUAACAUCCCCCUCCUUCGAACUUGGAACUUGGCAGAUAACUAACGGUCUCUUCACUAACGCCAUUGUUGCCGCCGUCAAGAUCUUUGUUGUUUAUUUAACAGCUAGCUAAAGAAGAUUACUUGGAGUUGAAACAAGAAGCAAGUGAACUACAUGAAUAUUCGAAUGUAAAACUAGAUAGAGGUACUCGGUAUCUCGAUGUUCUUACAAAGAAGACACGUAAGCUAGGGUUACCGGGUGAUUUUUGUUGACAUCCCACGUGUAUGAAAUCAUCAAGAGUGGAUUCAAACAUUUGAAAGUACUUUGAUGCCAUAGAUGUUUAUCGUGUACGUAUUUUGUUUAUGUCAAUCUCAUAAUGUUAUUCUGUUUUCUUUGUCUUUCUUGUGUUUAGUACAUCUUUUUCUCUUUUCUCUUAGUGUAUGCAUAUUUUAUUUUGCAUGAGGGUCAAUUUCUUAGCUGAUAUGUAUCAAUAAAUGAUAUAAUAAGGGUCACUUUCUUAGCUGAUAUACAUUAAUAAAUGAUAUAAUGAGGGUCACUUUCAUAGCUGGUAUGUAUUAAUAAAUGCUAUAAUGAUAUAUGUAUAAAAUCAUAAAUGAUGUAAAUAAAUGAUAUGUGUGAGUGCUGAAAGGAAAAGUAGAAACAUAGGGUUUGUUGAUCUUGUUUGGGGCUGACAUUUUAUUAUUUUCAAAUGUGCAAGAGAUUUGAUUGAAAUAGAUUUUGUACUUAAUGAUCUUUAGUACAAAUUUAAAAUAUUCCUCUACUUAUUACCAUAUUAAAUAAUCUCUACCUUUACCUAAUGUUUGGUAUUGCAUUGGUUUUAGAUCCUGAUGUGAGGCUUUUGCAUUUUCUUGGUCUUGCACUUUAUAUUAUCAAGAUAUGAUGUUUGCACUGAUAGGUUUGUUGAUGGAGUUUUUGUUGGAUCAUUAAAAAACUGGAUUACUUGUCAUAUAAUAUCCUUUCCUGCCUUACUUUUCAAUGUUUAGUAUAUUUUUUAUUCCUAAUGUCAUUUUCUAAGUUGUAAUGUAGUCCAUUUUCCUAGGGUUUGCUUCCAUUUUAGCUCCAAUUCGACAAGCCUAUUACCUCUGAGGUUUUAAUUUUCACUCUUCACCGUUGGCCUCCUACUUUGAGUUGCACAUACAUUAGUAUAUUAUUGUGUGAUGAGUUUUUUUUCCUUCUGCUAUGAAUGUUUGAUGAUUCGCUAAUGCAAGGUUAAAAUUAUCAAGUGGAACCCUGAAAAUGAUUUGCUAGCCAUGGUCACGGAAAACAAAAUAUUUUGCUCCACCGUUUCAACUAGCAGAGGUUGUGGACUAUAUCACUUGAUUGAUACAAGGAUCUCAUACAGCCAACUCGAGUUGGAUGAAGUGCGAAUGGAGCUUGCUGAUUUUUUGGGUGGCCAAAUGUGAUUAUAGUGAUAACUAAGUUCUUUUGGGUUAGAUAGACAAGCUUUGUUGAUAUUGGAUAUAGGUGAACUAGUUUUGUUUAUAUUUUACUGAUAUUGGAUAUAGGUGAACUAGUUUUGUUGAUAUUUUGUUGAUAUUGGAUAUAGGUGAAAGACAACUUAUAUAUGUAUGGUUCAUUGAUAUAUAUAUAUAUAUAUGUGUGUGCAAUUUCUUUGGCGGUAA